CAAAAGCGUAUAUUAAAGUUGUUGCAGUUAAAAAGCUCGUAGUUGAACCUUGGGCUUGGCUGGCCGGUCCAUCUUUUUUGAUGCGUACUGGACCCAGCCGAGCCUUUCCUUCUGGCUAGCCUUUUGGCGAACCAGGACUUUUACGUUGAAAAAAUUAGAGUGUUCAAAGCAGGCCUUUGCUCGAAUAUAUUAGCAUGGAAUAAUAGAAUAGGACGUUAUGGUUCUAUUUUGUUGGUUUCUAGGACCAUCGUAAUGAUUAAUAGGGACGGUCGGGGGUAUCAGUAUUCAGUUGUCAGAGGUGAAAUUCUUGGAUUUACUGAAGACUAACUACUGCGAAAGCAUUUACCAAGGACGUUUUCAUUAA
rnacentral:rRNA from 1 species